AUAUAUGUACUAUUUACAACAUGAGCGGCCGUGUUGUAUCGGAUAUACAAACUCGAGCCGAAGGCGAGAGUUUGUAUAUCCGAUACAACACGGACGCGAAUGUUGUAAAUGACUUAAAAAACGACUCAUCUUAUGAGUUCAUUGGCGAAGUAAUUUUAAAAAUAAACGUUGUCUAAGCCGAGAAAAUCAAAGUUAAAGUUUAUGUAAAUCAACAUGAAUCUGUAUCACAUAUACAGAUACGACACGCUUAUGAUUUUUCUUUGUGUUUUCGUCAUGAAUUAUUAAUGAGUUUUUUAAAUAUAUAU